AUCCAACAUUUUUGAAAUUGGAAUAAAAAUUUCAACAAAUUUAACUUUCAUGUAUACUUAUACGUCUAGAAAGAUUGGUUUUAUUGGUGAGAAUUUAAACUCUUAGCCACUAAUUAUACAAUACGAACCAGAAAAAUAGAAUGAACAAAUGAGUUAGGAAAUCAAAAUUUUAAAUGAUUGGAGUAUUAACCUAUUUUACUGUAAAAAUAUUUUAAAUAAUGUAAUAUGUAUUUUUAUCAUUAUUUAUAUUUUGUGUUCUAAUAAAUUAAAAUUCAGUUUAGUAAUUUAUGUUGCCAGAGUUUCGGAUAUACAUAUUACAUAUUUAAAUAGUAAAACAUAAUAUUUUAAAAUAAAUUAAGGAUUUAUGGAAAUAAAUUCGGGUGUAGUCCGGGAAAAGCUGUAGUUGUAAUAAAGAGAGGAGAAAUACACUAACACGCUAUUUGAUUCUAAAAAAAAAAUUGUCUGAUUGACUUUUGUUAACUAAAAAAAUAGCAAUUUGUCUGGAUUAUUUCAUAUUGUGUAUGUUGCAUAUGAAAACAAGAAACAAAUCCCCAGAUUAUAAUAGGAGAUCAUUAAGUUAUUUGGUAAACUCGACAAUUCUUUCUUUAAACAAAACUCGACAAUUCUUUCUAUGAAAAAUAUGUGGUUUAGGAAGAAGUUAGUGGAGCCACAAUUUGUUUAUUUUAUAUUAAGUACUAGGAUUAAAAUAAGUACGUGUUGGUAAAUUUGUUUAAUUUUUAAAAAAUCUAUUCUAUUAAAACAGUAGUGUGACCCAUUGAUAAAAGUAGAGUCCAACCAUUUAUUUUCCUUUAUUUAAGGAUCCUCUAAUUAAGUAAUUUGCUUAGUGGACACAUAUUAUGUAACGCCAAUUUCCAUAACCGUUUCUUUUUAGUUAAUCUUAACCGUUUGAUAUUAAUGCCAAUGGAAAAUAUCAAAUGCAGUUAUGUCCUUUUUACGGUAAUUUAUUAUUUGGACAGUUGGACCACGAAAAAUUAAAUCAUACAUGUAACUACAUUAAAUUGGUGACUAAUUAAAUCAUACAUAAUUACAUUAAUCUGGUUAGUACACGUAAGAUAGUUCACAUUAUAUUGAUGUUUCUUUGCAUACAAAUAAUUUCUGGUCUAAAUCGGUCCAGACCAUGCCUAUUCACAUGUAACUCCAGUUGUAUAAUAAUGUGUACACAUCUCAAUAAAUGUAGAAAAUAUGACAUACCAUAGACUUACAAUAUAACUUUAUCCAACAAACAUUGGUUGAAUUUGGUAACAAUAUGACUUCAGAUUUUCAAACCAAAAGUGAUACCAAGAUGAAGGAACACAAAUAUAUGUGAUUGUGGUAAUCAAACGAGAUCACCGAAUUCGAAUUAUAUACGUGUUUGUUAUUUUAUACAAAAGAUAUAUACAAACAUGAAUCAGUUUAUCAUAUUUUUAUUCAAAUAUAAUAUUAGAUAAGAUGUUUUCUUUUCAAAUCUGAUAUUUUUUUUCGUUUGAUUUUGGUGGACAUAUACUCAAAUAUUAAUGGCCUUAGAUCUUAAAAUUAUAUAGUUCCUAACGUAUUUAUGAUUUAAAUGGAAUGAAUUCUAAACAUGAACCCCUUAUAAAUAGAACAAAUUAAUUUAUGUAACGAAGUAUUUAAUUUUUUUUAAUUAAAUUUAGAUAUAACCCUAUGUUUUUCUAUAAAUAUACACUACCCACUACAUUACGAUAACCAUACAUUAUAUAAUUGUAUAUAAAUAUUUUUUAAUAUAUAAGAAAAAAUUACAGAAAAAUAUUACAUAUUUAUAGAAACAUAAAAAACAUAAAAAAUUACAAACCAAUAUUAUAUCCGCGGGUCAAGAUCUAAAACAAAUAAAUAUGAUUACAAAAAAACGGGUAUACGUACAUAUGAUUACAAAGAACUGAGCGUAUGCCGAAUCAAAUUUUAAAUUGCUAUUAUUUUAUAAAAUAAAUUUUGAUUAAGAUUUAUAUAUAAAUAUAAUUAUAAAAAAAUACAAAUAUGAUUACAUA